GUGGGGAAUAUUGGACAAUGGGGGGAACCCUGAUCCAGCCAUGCCGCGUGUGUGAAGAAGGCCUUUUGGUUGUAAAGCACUUUAAGCGAGGAGGAGGCUACCGAGAUUAAUACUCUUGGAUAGUGGACGUUACUCGCAGAAUAAGCACCGGCUAACUCUGUGCCAGCAGCCGCGGUAAUACAGAGGGUGCAAGCGUUAAUCGGAUUUACUGGGCGUAAAGCGCGCGUAGGUGGCCAAUUAAGUCAAAUGUGAAAUCCCCGAGCUUAACUUGGGAAUUGCAUUCGAUACUGGUUGGCUAGAGUAUGGGAGAGGAUGGUAGAAUUCCAGGUGUAGCGGUGAAAUGCGUAGAGAUCUGGAGGAAUACCGAUGGCGAAGGCAGCCAUCUGGCCUAAUACUGACACUGAGGUGCGAAAGCAUGGGGAGCAAACAGGAUUAGAUACCCGGGUAGUCCC
rnacentral:rRNA from 1 species